AGGACUCCAAGCUGCUGCAGAAAGUGGACUGAUGAGGGAACCUGGGAGCUCAGGCAGGAAGCCUGCAGUCCAGGUUGCUCAGCUGGGUUCUGCAUGCUGAGUCUCCCUGCCCUGUGCUGUCAUCAGGUGAUCUCAGGGACCAGCGCGCAAAGGUGAUUCCAGUGAUGCCUCCCAAGGAACAGGAGAUUCCUUCCAAGAGUAUGGUCAGCUCUGGUUCCCACCUCUCAGUAUGUGUCAUCCAUUCUUUGUAGACCGAGAACAGAGUAUGUGAGAUGCCGUGCCAACAGUCAGGAUGACUCUCAUUUUUAAACAGCUAAGGUCACAAAUCCCACUCCUGUGCCCUGCUGACACCUGGCAGGCCACACUGCUCACAUCUUCUGCCUACACAGGAUUCCCGGAUCUACAUGCAGCUCGCAGAAUGUCCUCACAGACAGGGCUAAGAGAGGAAAGUGGGCUCGGUCCCUCUGUUUCUCUCCGCCUCUCUCUUCACCCCAAGCGGCCACAGUGGACCCCUCAGAGUCACACAAGCCAUCACCCUGUGGCCUUCAUGUUCUCUGUGCUCUCAGACACACCAGUGGAGCAAGCCAGAUAGUUAACUUUGGCUAACCUCUAGGAAGAGAAAGUUUAAAAGGGAAGGGAAGGUUUAAUGCUUGCAUGUUUCAGAAACGCAGCCCAACGUCACUUGCUGUCUGCUCUCUGCUCAGCUGCCCCUGGGUGACCUGGGACCUGUGCACUGUGAUGCCUGGCUCCCUGCCACCUCUGAAGUUCACUGGCCCUGAGUCCCCUCCACUCCUUCAAGGAAGCACCUGCAGUCCCAGGUCCGAUGGUAGACCCCCUCCUGAGCUCAGGAGGCACCAUGGAGGCACGAAUGCUACCAAUGAUGUCCCUCCCUGUGACAGAGGCCCCACAGUCUGACUUUACCAGCUGCUCUUCAAAGGUUACCUGUCCAGGCCUUCCUCAGCCUCAUCCUCACAGGGCCUGGCCAUCCCCCCUAGGUCGGGGCUCAUCCUGUAAGCCCUGCUAGUCACAUUGCUUUUGGUGUAAGCCCUGCUAGUCACAUUGCUUCUGCCGUGUGGCUGCUCCCUUUCCUGAGAUGGUUUCCAACUCAAAACCACACU